rnacentral:lncRNA from 1 species
GCAAAAUGGAGAAAGGCUUGGCCCGAUGCUUUCCGGCAGAUGUAGUCAGCAGGCCCUUCGUGUGUACGUGCGCGCGCGGCGCGAUGACGUUCCUCUGUGAUCAUGGGCGAGGGGCGGGCCCUGAACGUCUCCAUGGUAACCUGGGGACACGACUCGACAUCGCCUGGCGCGAGUCAUGGCUGGGGCCUUAGUGGCAACAAGUGCUGAGAUCAGCGGGCUCAGUAGCAGGAACACAAGCACCCCCUUGCGGUGUCUGGAGGAAGCGGCGCGGACAGUCUCCCGCUCCACCGUGUCGGGCCUGAAGAGGCCGCUGAACGCUCGCGAUUACUGAGGCAUCUGGUAGGAUCGCAAGGCCAUCAACCUACAGGUGAAGCUCGAGGCGCUGUGGCGCUUUGAAGCCGGAGAGAAGCUCAGUAGAAUCGGGAAGGCGCUGGGGCUGUCCAACUCCACCUUGGCCACCAUUCGUGACAACAAGGAAAAGAUCUGGGCGAGUUCCCAGGAGGCCACACUGCAGGCGGCCACCAAGUUGACGCGUGGCCGCAGCCUGGUGAUGGAGAACAUGGAGCAGC